rnacentral:rRNA from 1 species
AUUGAACGCUAGCGGGAUGCUUUACACAUGCAAGUCGAACGAGUGGCGGACGGGUGAGUAAUAUCUCGGAACGUGCCUAGUAGCGGGGGAUAACUACUCGAAAGAGUGGCUAAUACCGCAUACCCUCGGAGCGGCCCAUAUCGGAUUAGCUAGUUGGUGGGGUAACGGCUCACCUAGGCAACGAUCCGUAGCUGGUUUGAGAGGACGACCAGCCACACUGGGACUGAGAAACGGCCCAGACUCCUACGGGAGGCAGCAGUGGGGAAUUUUGGACAAUGGGGGAAACCCUGAUCCAGCCAUCCCGCGUGUAUGAGAAGGCCUUCGGGUUGUAAAGUACUUUUGGCGGGGAAGCGGUAUCUGCAGAAUAAGCACCGGCUAACUACGUGCCAGCCGCCGCGGUAAUUC